GAGGGGGUGGGUAGGUUCCGGAGUCACAGGUUUCCUGAUGAAUCCCUGGCUAGAUCGGCUGGCAGAGGGCAGCACGCAGAGGGAAGCACACUGAAGUGGCAGGGUCCAGGGGUUACAGCCGAGACAGGAGGAUCCACAACACUGCAAACAGUUCCUACGGAUCCUUUAAGGAAAACGUUUGCUCCUGCCCUGUGCUGCUGGAUGCCGGAAACAGGCGUGUCCUCAGUGGACAGCAGCCUGAAUUCGUAACAUUAUAAUCAAGACGCGGCAGUGGGAGAGAAAAUAAUGUGCGUGACCGCACGGAGAAGAGACGCCAGUCUGACACAGGUCGAAACCGGGCUGACCCACGUGGAAAUAAGUCCACAGCACGCGCCUCAGGAGUAGCGGGGAAGUUAUUAUGCUAAGAGAAUCACCGUGUAAUCAUUUCUGGAGGACACCUGCAGCACCGGCUUUGGUCAACAGGACCACGGACACAAACAAAACACACACACUCACUUCCCUCCGGGAUGUGACAUGGUGGACCAGCCCUGGAUGCAGGCACACGUGGGAGAUGUGGAAGCUGACGACUUCAGGCAAGACUCUUCCCCUCUCCUCCGUGGCUUCCUCAGUGGGCUGUCCGGGAGGGGCUGAGAGAGAAUGUCGGCCGCUACGAG